rnacentral:rRNA from 1 species
CCCUUAGAUGUCCGGGGCCGCACGCGCGCUACACUGAAGGAAUCAGCGUGGCUUUCUCCCUGACCCGAAAGGGUUGGGAAACCCGUUGAAUCUCCUUCGUGAUAGGGAUUGGGGCUUGAAAUUGUUCCCCAUGAACGAGGAAUUCCCAGUAAGCGCGAGUCAUAAGCUCGCGUAGAUUACGUCCCUGCCCUUUGUACACACCGCCCGUCGCUACUACCGAUUGAACGGUUUAGUGAGGGCCUCGGAUUGGUCUCGGCCCGCUCUUUACCGGGCGGCGCCGUUGGUCGAGAAGACGCUCGAACUUGAUCGUUUAGAGGAAGUAAAAGUCGUAACA